UUAUUCUGAUUUUCGCCUUCUCUUCGUUCUUUGUCGUUUCGUUUAUUCCUAGAUCCACCAGAAACUUUCUUUGAGUUUUCUUUUGUUUGAUUUUCAGAAAUUCUUUUUUAGGUGGUUUUAAUUUUCUUUUUUCUGCCUCGAAAACAAAUCUAUUUCGAUUAAAUUUUUUCUUCAGAUUGGUUUUUCAAAACGGUUUCAAAAUUUACUAGAUCUAGAUUCCUGUAUCUUUCUUUUCUAUUUAGAUUAAAUUUUUUCUUCACGAUUGAAUUUUUUUUCUUCGGAUUGGUUUUUCAAAGCGGUUUCAAAAUUUACUGGAUCAGAUUCCUGUAUUCUUUUUUUCUAUUUAGAUUAAAUUUUUUCUUCACGAUUGAAUUUUUUUUCUUCGGAUUGGUUUUUCAAAACGGUUUCAAAAUUUACUAGAUCUAGAUUCCUGUAUUUUUUUUCUUUUGAAGUUGCAGGCAAUUAUGUUAGCAACGGGGAGGAUGAUUGUUGAUGGAAUUUUUUUGGAUCUGGUUUCACCAAGGUUGGUAGGUGCAAGAGCAGAAGAAAGAAAUCAAUCGAUACAUGAUUUUUAGAUCUUUGAUGUACAGAAAUCAUUGGUAGCGGAAGGUAUAAUUGAUGGUGAACAGUCAAUUUUGUGAGAUUUUGUGAGGAUAGAGGUAUAUAUAUAUAUAUAUGAGAUAGAUGUAAAAGAGAUCGAUACAAAAAGCUCUAUGUAUGAGUUUUGCGUAUCGGAUCUUCUUUGUCAUCUGACCUUUGCCAUGACGGGUGCGCUUGCUUGGCAGGUCAAAAGAAUACAUAAUAAAAAAAAGAGUUUUGGUGUUGAACAGGGGAGUUCGCACGGGGUGUUUUUUGCCUGGGUUCUCUCCUGUUCUCUGUGUGUUGUUGUCCUGUCCAUCUUUAUGUUCUUGAUUCCAUAUCAAACUCCACUGUAAAUCUGAACAUCGAAAUUCGAAUCCUCUGAUUCGAGGAUAGAUCAUCAAAAUCAGCGAAGGCUCUGGCGUCCCAAUCAAGGAAUUUUGCAGCUUCCGACCAUCCAACUCUGCAAGGUAUAAUUAUGAAAAUUAUCUUUUUAACUUAAAUUAACUUAAAUUAUCUGUUUUUUAUAUUAAAUCUCAGCUCGACUUGAGACUGAUUAAGCAGUCCCCCAAAAUUUUAUACAUCGCCGCAAUCAAAGUUUAAUUUCAAUUUUUAAGCAUGCAAUUUCUUUCCUUAGUUUUAGAUUUAUUUGAAUGUCAGGAAAAUUAUGGAUGAAUAAUUGUUCUCAAGGUCUAUAAUACACUAUUUGGAUUAUUUUUUCAGAUUUAAAUUGUUUAUUCGAAUCCAUCUAAUUCUAUGACUAUAAUUUUGAAGAUACAUCGAGAGCAAUUUUGUAUAUUGAGUUAAUUUUGUAUAUAUAAUUUUCUUGUCAGUUCCAUAAGUUUGUAUAUAAUUUUCAUGUCAGUUCUAUCCAUAAGAGAGGUAGAGCAAUUUGCAGUUUUGUAUAUCGAGGGAUUUUGUAUUUUUUGGUAAGGACAUCAAAUCAAUCGGUAGUUAGAUUGAAGGUAUAAGAGCAGGCGAAGGAAAGCGUUUUGGGGUGCUUGUGGUAGUACUCUUUACCAACUCUCUAAUUUACCAUUUACCAUACCAUCUGUCUUGUUAUACAAGUAUUGUCAGCUCUGUAAUUUGCACAUCUGAAGUUUUUGUUAUACAGAAGUUCUUUGAUAUUUGAUGUUCAGAAUUAUUCGUAUGAAUCUUUAGAUGCCAACAUGUAACCAACUACUAAUGGGUCCAUGGAUUUGUUGUGGUUUAAAAUUUGGUAGUCCACCAUCCACAUAUUACAUGCAUAUAUACCUAAAAAAAAAAAAACCAAGACAUAUUACACACACAUACAUACUCUUUGAAAAACUAAAACUAAAUGAAUUAUCCUCAUCACUUCACUUCUGGUUCUGGUCCUUGGUUGUUAUACUUCUGUAUUUAUGGACUCAUAAGCUCAAAAGGCCAGAGCACCCAAACCCCGAUUAAUGGUUUGUGGAGGUUGAUGGUUCGAAUCCAUCUGGGUCCUACUUCGAAUUGAUGUGUCUUUUGUUGUGGCUAAUAUGCUUCAAAUUGCUGCUUAUUGUGUGUUGCUGUGACUAAUAUUGCUUUAUUUUGGCUAGGCUAAUAUUGCUUUAUUUUGGCUAGGCUAAUAUUGCUUUAUUAGGCUAAUAUUGCUUCAAUUGCUGCUUAUCGUGAGUUGCUGUAUGAAACUGGCAGUUGAAGUUGCUGUAGUUCAAGUCCAAAAGAAGUAUGUUACUAAAGAUCAUGCUGUGAGUCUGUGACUAAUACUUGCUUUAUUGACCUUUUGAACCAGUUUCAGUUUGUGAAACUGGCAGUUGAAGUUGAGUUGAAGUUGCCGUAGUUGAAGUUUGAAAGAAGCAUGUUACCGAAGUUCAUGCGCGCUGGCAGCCUUUCGUAGUGCGUCUUCCAGAAGUAUCUCUUUGAGAUUGAUUGUUAUAUGUGCAAUUACUUUCUUCAAGACUAGUUCUCCUGAUUCACUAACCCCAUACAGUUCUCCUGGCUUGCCAACCCCACAGUGGGCAGAAAGCAGGAUCCUUCUACAGUAUUGCUGGUCAAAGAAAAGAAGCCACUAUAUUGCUUAUUAUAAAUGCGCAAACAGUUUUAAGGGGGAUUAGUACUGGACUGGGAUAAGAAAGCUAUGGGGGGCUUAUUGGUGCCCACCGCCUACCUAGCUACUCUGCUGGCAUAGUAAAGCUAUGAUUCAACUUUUAUUGGCUCACUUAGCACAACAUCACGUCAUCAUUUCUGAUUUUGAGGGGAAAGGCUACUGCAACUUCACAAUCCAACUUCACAAUCUCAGGAAGCUAUGGACCAAGACACUAAUGACAUCACUUUAAGCCAUGACACACUCAAGGGUUUCAAAAAUCCCCAUCUAUUUAAUCCGGCCUUGCUAGCAAAGUGACAUGGAGAUUACUCACAGAGCCUGAUGCCCCAGGGGUUCAAGUACUUAGAGCUCGCUAUUUCGCCAACAAGGAUUUACUCACAGAUGUGCUACCAGCUACUGCAACCUUCAUAUGGAGAAGUAUUUUACAGGGACUUGAGAUAGUUAAACAGCAUUAUAUUUGGGCUGUUGGUGAUGGUCACCAAAUACAACCAUGGAAACACCACUGGCUAACAAUCUCUCCUCAGCCUCAACUGGAUCAGCCUCAGUAUUCGACUCUAUCUCAUUUUACAACAACAAUCAGCAGUGGGACUUAUGACAGCUUCAACUUUAUUUUACCCCAGCAACCCUCAAUGAAAUACAGAAAAUCCCAUUAUUUCCUCAAGCCAUAGACAACUUGCAGCGGGCUUUCACAAGAACAGGCAAGUUCACUGUGGGUUCUACUUAUAAUCAGCUAAUUAUCCAACACCAGCAAGGUAUGAAUUAUACAACAACUUUCUCUGCACAUUACUGGUUAAAAUUAUGGCAUAUGAAAAUCCCAAGCAAACUUCAGUUCUUUAUGAGGAAACUAUCACACAAUAUUUUACCUGUUGCAUCCGUGAUAUAUAAAUACUCUCCUCAAAAGUGUCAGAUGUGCGCAAUGUGUGGGAAUGAGGUUGAAACUACAAUUCAUCUGCUGUUAAAAUGUUCAUUCGCAAGAGAUGUUUGGUUUGCCACUUCAGAGUAUUUAUGGCAUCAUCUUAUUCCAGUUAACAACCUACAAGAGUGGUUUUCAUCGUGGACCCAACAACAGAAUCCAGUCUCAUUUCAGGCAGAUCAUUUAUCCAAUCUGGUGGUGGUUACUAUGUGGUUUGUAUGGAAAGCUCGUUGCUCCUUAGUGUUCCAGGCCAUUAAACAAUAAUCCAAUCAGCACUAUUCAUAUAGAUCAUCAUGCAUCAGUAGGCAGUACUAGGCCAAAACAUCUGCAUAUGCACCGGACUCCUACUCCACAUGGAUGGGUCUCUAUCAAUGUUGAUGCUUCUAUGAUUACUACUAAUAGCAACUCUUCUGAUACGGGUCUGGUUAUACGUAAUGAUGCAGGAGUUCUCUUAGCUGCAAAAACCAUCUCAACAGAGGUGUGUGACAUUGAUCAAGCAGAAGCACUUGCAGUCUUGGGAAGUCUAGAAUGGUCUCAACAAAUGCAUUGUAAAAAACUAAUUGUACAGAAAGACAAUAAAUGAGUGGCGGAAGCUAUUUUCUAAACUUGAAUUGUGCUGCAGAAGAGAAGAUUUUCAACUCAUCAAGUACAUAAGAGAGAUGCUUUCUUUGUUUGAUUAUUGCUCUGUAAAUUAUAUCAACAGAACCUGUAACAUCCUGCAGAUGUUUUAGCUAAAUUUGCUCGUAAAAAUCUAUGUAAUACAGUGUAAUUAAGAAGAUUACCCAUCAAAAAUCUAUGUAAUCAAAA